AGAUUUAAUUCCAAAACAAUGUGAAUUAUCGGGAUCUUGUCAAAUAGGUUUGCUUCGAAAUAGGCAUGUUCUGAUCAAAUGUGAUCUAAUGGAAGAUUAUAUUAAAAUUCUAUCGAAAAACUCCUACUACAUAAUUGCUAAGGAUGGAUAUGCAUAUCAAAUGAGGCCUUUUAUCUAUGAUGCAAACUUCAAAGCUGGUGAAGAGACAACAAAGGCCACGACCUGGAUUUCAUUCCCUGAUUUGCUGCCAACAUUCUUUGUUAAGGAAGUCUUGUUCUCACUGGCUUCUGUGGUUGGGAAGCCUCUUCAAUUGGAUCUUGCUACAAUAAAUAAGACCCGGCCAAGUUGUGCAAGAGUGAAGGUCCAAGUGCAUUUGCUUACUGAAAAACCUGAGUUUGUACAAAUGCAGUUAGAAGAUGAAAACACUCUUGAGAAAAGAGUUGUUACUGUGAGAAUACAUUAUGAUUCUUUACCUGCAUAUUGCAUGAAGUGUAAAUUACAGGGGCAUGGUGAAGAAGAUUGUAGGGUCUUACAUCCAGAGCUAGUACAACAGCACGAAGACAUACAAAAUACAACACAACCCAUAGACAACAAACAAUUAUACAAGGGUGUAGUAAAGAGCAUAUGGAAGCCUACAAACAGGAGUUUUACAAAGAAAGUUGGGGAAUUGAUGACUGUUAAGGGACUGGAAAGGACAGACAUCAACAAGAACAGUAAUCUUUUUGCUAUUCUUAGUCAAAAUGUUCUAGUGGAGGAAGAGGUUGUAGAUGUAAAGGUGCAAAAUCAGAAGCAGAUAGAUGGGGUGAAGGAUACACGAAUUGAGAUUACUCAUGGGCUAACCAACAAGACUGAAGAGGAAAUCGAAAUUACAAACAAAGAAGAUGGAGAAAGAAUUGUGGUUUGUGGAAAAAAUGAUGGGGUGGUUUCUGAUUACAGCAAAGCUAUUGUGCUUUUUAAUGGAUGGGUUAACAGUGCAGUACAGAGAGGAUAGGACAAGGAAGAGGAAAUUUCACAGAAUCAGUUAUCUACUAGACAGAAUCUACAACAAGCUGAUUAUCAUGCUCCUUUACAGAUUAUGGACCCACAAGAAGCAUGGUAUCCUGUACAACUACAAGGUUCUAUAUUACAGGGAGGGAGUGAGGAAGAUCACAAUCUGAAAGAGCUGGCAGUGGUCUGUCCAAAAUCACAACCAGUUCAAACAUUACAUGAAAUAGUAUCACAUCAAGGGGUAAUGGAUGUACAGGGUAAAGGGCUCAAACAGUCUAGUGAUGUUGAAGAUACGGAUGAAAAGGAGAACUUACAGGUUGAGAACAUGGUGUUUAAUGAAGCAUGUGUUUCAUCUGCUACAGUAAUCACACAUAAAGGCAAGAAUAAAUGGGAAGUGCUACCCACAAGAUCAAAUCCAAGGAAAGGGGCUAGAAAUGGGGUCAAAUGAUGUUAAAAUCCUUAUUUUGGAAUGUGAGGUCAGUUAGAUCUCAAAAUUCAUUCCAUAGAAUUCAGAUAUUACAUAGAUAUCACAAGUUUAAUAUCAUAGCAUUGAUAGAACCUUUUCAGAAUAUUGAUAACAUUCAAAGAUUUAAAAGAAGAUUGGGUAUGGAGUAUUCUAACUAUAACUGCAAUGGUAAAAUAUGGGUGUUCAUUCAAGAGCAUAUUCAGGUUGAGGUGUUGGCGGAUUCUGAUCAGAUGCUGACUCUGAAAUUGUUGUUUCUGGAGAAUAAUCAACAUUUAAUUGUUUCUAUUGUAUAUGCAAAGUGUGAAGCUGAGGAGAGGCUGCAACUAUGGAAUGAUAUCUACUGUAUUAGCAAUGUUAUUCAGAAUUCACCCUGGCUGAUUGGGGAGGAUUUUAAUGUCAUCAUGAGUGAAGAAGAGAAGAUUGGUGGUCUGCCUAUAUAUCCUAAUGAGUAUGAGGAUUUUGCAUUUUGUGUGAACUCCUGUGAUCUGGUGGAUAUCAGUUUUAAAGGGAGUCCUUUUACAUUGUGGAAUGGGAGGAUUGAUGAUCAAUGUAUAUUUAAGAGACUGGAUAGGUACACGAUGAACCAGGCUGGUCUAAUCUAUUUUGGGUUGGUGGAAUCUAAACAUCUGGCAAGAACAGGGUCUGAUCAUGCUCCUAUACUACUAACUUGUGGCCAGAAGACAGAGGUUACUAGGAGACCUUUCAGAUUUCUUAAGUUUUGGUCAGAACAUGCAGAAUUUCAGCAGAUAGUGAAGGAUAACUGGGUUUCAGAAGAAGCAGAUGUGUUUAUUAGAUUGAAACAAAAGAUGAAGAAGACUAAAACUGCCUUAUCUAACUGGAGUAGAGUAACUUUUGGAGAUAUUUUCAAACAGUUAUCUAUCAGGGAGGAGAUUGUAAGGGUGAAGGAGGUGUUAUUUGAAACAAGCCCUACAACAGAAAAUAGAAAGAUUUUACAGAAAGCCCAAGCAGAAUUAAAAAUGUAUGUGCAUUUUGAAGAAGAGUAUUGGAGACAGAAGGCAGGUAUUCAAUGGUUUACAGAAGGGGAGAAAAACACAAGGUUCUUUCACAGUUUAGUGAGAGGCAGAAGGAAAAGAUUGAGCAUAAACAGAAUUCAGAGUAAGGAAGGAGUAUGGGUAGAAGGUGAAGAGCUAGUGGCUGUUGCUGCUCAAGAGUAUUUUCAUAAAGCAAUUCACAGGCAUUCAGACUAUGGAGGUAUCCCCUCUAUUGAGAUAUAUUCAGAAAAGGGCUAUUGAUGAAGACAACAAAAGAUUAAAUGAUUAUCCUUCAAUGGAGGAAGUCAAAAAAGUGGUGUUUGAUCUCAAUGGGGACAGUGUUAAUGGUCCUGAUGGGUUUACUGGACAUUUUUUCCAACAAUGUUGGGAUAUAGUUAGGGAUGAUGUGGUUAAUGUGGUUGGUGCUUUCUUUAAAGGUGUCACCCUUCCGAAGUCUAUUACACAUACUAAUUUGGUAUUAAUUCCUAAGAAAGAUAUUUGUCAAUCUUUCUCAAACAUGAGGCCAAUUAGUUUGAGUAAUUUUCUUAAUAAAGUGAUUUCUAGGGUGAUGAAUGAUAGAGUAGGGGUUCUUCUUCCAUCCCUGAUUUCACAAAAUUAGUCUGGCUUUGUGAAAGGAAGAAACAUCACUGAAAAUGUGUUGCUUGCUCAGGAGAUUAUUUCAGAUAUCAGAAAAAGGGGUAAGCCAGCUAAUGUAGUGAUCAAGCUGGAUAUGGCAAAAGCAUAUGAUAGGGUGGAUUGGAGAUUUCUUAUAAAAGUGCUAGAAGGAAUGGGCUUUGAUGCUAAUUUUGUUGAUAAAGUCUGGAGACUGGUUGCUAACAACUGGUAUUCUAUACUUAUCAAUGGUCAAGCUACUGGGUUUUUUCAUUCAUCUAGGGGAGUGAAGCAAGGGGAUCCUCUAUCCCCUGCUUUGUUCAUACUAUCAGCUGAAGUUCUAUCUCGAAGCUUAAAUGCUUUGUUCUGUAAUGAGGUGUACAAGGGAUUUGGACUACCAAAAUGGAGUGAUCAUAUUAAUCAUCUUGCAUAUGCAGAUGAUACUAUUAUUUUUACUUCAGAAGAUGGUAAUUCAUUAGAUGUAUUGAUGAAAACUCUGAGAGAUUAUGAGAAGCAGUCAGGGCAGAUGAUUAAUAUAGAAAAGAGCUCUUUUUUUGUCUUUCAUAAUACAUCACAUGAUUUGGUAUCUAAUAUAGAAGUGAAAACUGGCUUUGCUAGAGGUAAGUUUCCACUAAUGUAUUUGGGAUGCCCAAUUGGUCAUGCCAAGAAGAAGAAGGUACACUUUGCAGAAUUGAUGAAAAAAGUGCACAACAAGCUGCAAGCUUGGAAAGGGAAGAUGUUGUCAUUUGGAGGUAAGGCUGUGUUGAUUCAUAAUGUGCUAAACAGCAUACCUAUUUAUCAUGUCUGCUAUUAAUCCACUGAGAUGUGUUAUUCAUGAUUUGCAUAGAGUUUUUGCAAAUUUUUUUUGGAGAUUUAGGAAGGAAGGAAAUAACAAGCAUUGGGUAGCUUGAUCAGAUUUAUGUAGACCAAGCAUGAAGGUGGUGUGGGAUUUAGAUCUUUGUUUGAUAUAUCCAAAGCUUUAUUUGCUAAAUUAUGGUGGGGCUUUAGAACAAGAAAGACUCUUUGGUCUAAUUUUAUGUGGAAUAAAUACUAUAAAAAGGAGAGACCUCAGGUGGUUGAAUGGAAAAAUGGAUCUUUAACUUGGAAGUAUAUGCUGGAAGCUAGAGAUUUGAUAGAUCAACAUAUUUGGUGGGAACCUAAGUGUGGCCAUUCAAGUAUUUGGUAUGAUAAUUGGUCACAAUUAGGUGCACUACAUUACAUAGUUCCUAUAGACAGUGCUAGAAAUGUGCAAUUGGAUGAAGUGAAACAAUGCUUUUGGAAUGGGGAAUGGAACUAUGAUUUGCUUCAAACAAAUUUUGGGAAUGAUAUCAGUAGACAAGUUAUACAACUCAUGAGAAGUUUAGAAGAUGAAGAACAAUGGGAUAAACCCUGGUGGAUUCUACAGACUUCUGGAAAAUUCAUUGUGGGUUCUACAUGGUAUUUCCUAAGGGAGAAGCAUGAGGUCUAUUUGAAAUAUAAGUAUAUCUGGAGUGCAGGAAUUCCUUUUAAGAUAUCUUUCUUCAAUUGGAGGCUAUGGAAACAAAGAAUUCCUAUUGGAGAAGUUCUUGUCAGGAACAGGAUGAGUGAUGGGGUAGUGUGUGGUUGCUGUGAUGAUGGAGUUCAGGAGACUAUUGAACAUUUAUUUAUUAGAUGUUCAUUCACUAAUUUUAUAUGGAGAUAUUUUGCAGGAUCGGCAGGUGUGGAGGGCCCUUUCUUGCAGUUGAAAGAUACCGUGUAUAAAUGGUGGAAUGCAGAUGCUUCUGCAAAACUGAAACCCGUGUUAAUGGUUGUGCCACUGUUUAUUUGUUGGCAAGUGUGGAAGAGAAGAAAUGCCUUGAAAUUUGGUGGUUCAAUGUCUUAUCUGAGUAUGCGAGAAGGGGUAGCAAAUAAUUUAAUUCUAUUGGCUAAGCAGUUGUAUCCGUGGAUGCAUCACCUACCUAAUAACUGGCCUGAUUUGGUCAGAUAUUUGACAGCGUAUACUCCUAGAAUUGAUUGUAAGGUGGUCUAUUGGAAAUUACCUAGACAGAAUACAUUCAAAUGCAAUACAGAUGGGUCUUCAAAAGGGAAUCCAGGACCAAGCUCUUCUGCUUUCUGUAUUAGAGAUGAUCAAGGCAAUUUUGUGUAUGCUGAAGGAAAUAUGAUUGGACUAUCAAACAAUUUAAGUGCUGAAAUUGUAGCUAUAAGACUAGGGCUGGAAUAUUGUAGGAAUAACAAUUUAUUCCCACUGAUUAUAGAAACUAAUUCUUUAGCUGCAAUGAAAAUGGUUGAAGGGGUUUGGCACAGACCUUGGGAGGUGACUAUGGAGGUCAGAAGGAUACAGAUUCUGAAAGAUGGAUUGGAGGUGGCCAUUGUACACACAUUGAGAGAGGGAAACAAACUGGCAGAUUUUAUGGCUAAUAUUGUGUUCUCUUUUGCAGGUACAGAUUCUAUAUGUUAUAAUGAUUUCCAAGAUCUACCUAGUGAAGCAAAGACAAUUCUAAAUAUGGAUAAAAGUCAAAUUCCUAAUCUAAGGAUAAGGAAGUUUCAGAAUGGAGAUUUUGCACAAGAUUGAUGUUUCAGAUAAGAACAUACGAAGGAGCAGGUAUUUCAGGCUUAAAAAUACAACAGUCAUACAAUACUCUGAAGGUUGCGAGUGUAGUGAGUUAUAAUUACAAAGGCAAUGAGUGAAUUUCAGAACAAGGAAAAAACAUAAACAGUUGCAGUACAACAUCCAUACAACACUCUGAAGAUUACGCAUAUUGGGAUCAUAUUUGGCUGGAUAACGGUACAAAGCCAUGAGCAAAUUUCAGAACAAUGACAAUAAAUAAACAGGUUACAUGUUAAGGAAAAUACCUAUGAAGGCUGCAGUAACCUCGUUGCGAAGCUCUCGACAGUGGUAUUAGCUCCUUGUUGAGCUCAACCUGCCAAAGCUAAGGGAUGAAGGUUGUGAGAUCAGUAUUAGGUAUAUGAUGAACAAAUUUGCAUAGGGAGUGAGGCUAUCACCUGAUUUGAAGUCUCGAUUGAAG
rnacentral:lncRNA from 1 species